CCUACGGGUGGCAGCAGUGGGGAAUAUUGGGCAAUGGGCGCAAGCCUGACCCAGCAACGCCGCGUGAAGGAAGACGGCUUUCGGGUUGUAAACUUCUUUUCUCAGGGACGAAGCAAGUGACGGUACCUGAGGAAUAAGCAACGGCUAACUACGUGCCAGCAGCCGCGGUAAUACGGCGGUGGCAAGCGUUAUCCGGAUUUACUGGGUGUAAAGGGCGUGUAGGCGGGGACGCAAGUCAGAUGUGAAAACCACGGGCUCAACCUGUGGCCUGCAUUUGAAACUGUGUUUCUUGAGUACUGUAGAGGCAGACGGAAUUCGUAGUGUAGCGGUGAAAUGCGUAGAUAUUAGGAGGAACACCAGUGGCGAAGGCGGUCUGCUGGACAGCAACUGACGCUGAGGCUCGAAAGCGUGGGGAGCAAACAGGAUUAGAUACCCUAGUAGUC
rnacentral:rRNA from 1 species